AUGGGGAAACCCAGUGUGUUUCGACACACUAUCAUUAACUGAAUCCAUAGGUUAAUGAGGCGAACCGGGGGAACUGAAACAUCUAAGUACCCCGAGGAAAAGAAAUCAACCGAGAUUCCCCCAGUAGCGGCGAGCGAACGGGGAGCAGCCCAGAGCCUGAAUCAGUAUGUGUGUUAGUGGAAGCGUCUGGAAAGGCGCGCGAUACAGGGUGACAGCCCCGUACACAAAAAUGCACAUGCUGUGAGCUCGAUGAGUAGGGCGGGACACGUGGUAUCCUGUCUGAAUAUGGGGGGACCAUCCUCCAAGGCUAAAUACUCCUGACUGACCGAUAGUGAACCAGUACCGUGAGGGAAAGGCGAAAAGAACCCCGGCGAGGGGAGUGAAAAAGAACCUGAAACCGUGUACGUACAAGCAGUGGGAGCACGCUUAGGCGUGUGACUGCGUACCUUUUGUAUAAUGGGUCAGCGACUUAUAUUCUGUAGCAAGGUUAACCGAAUAGGGGAGCCGAAGGGAAACCGAGUCUUAACUGGGCGUUAAGUUGCAGGGUAUAGACCCGAAACCCGGUGAUCUAGCCAUGGGCAGGUUGAAGGUUGGGUAACACUAACUGGAGGACCGAACCGACUAAUGUUGAAAAAUUAGCGGAUGACUUGUGGCUGGGGGUGAAAGGCCAAUCAAACCGGGAGAUAGCUGGUUCUCCCCGAAAGCUAUUUAGGUAGCGCCUCGUGAAUUCAUCUCCGGGGGUAGAGCACUGUUUCGGCAAGGGGGUCAUCCCGACUUACCAACCCGAUGCAAACUGCGAAUACCGGAGAAUGUUAUCACGGGAGACACACGGCGGGUGCUAACGUCCGUCGUGAAGAGGGAAACAACCCAGACCGCCAGCUAAGGUCCCAAAGUCAUGGUUAAGUGGGAAACGAUGUGGGAAGGCCCAGACAGCCAGGAUGUUGGCUUAGAAGCAGCCAUCAUUUAAAGAAAGCGUAAUAGCUCACUGGUCGAGUCGGCCUGCGCGGAAGAUGUAACGGGGCUAAACCAUGCAC
rnacentral:rRNA from 1 species